GGUGGUGCAUGGUUGUCGUCAGCUCGUGUCGUGAGAUGUUGGGUUAAGUCCCGCAACGAGCGCAACCCUUAAGCUUAGUUGCCAGCAUUCAGUUGGGCACUCUAAGGUGACUGCCGGUGACAAACCGGAGGAAGGUGGGGAUGACGUCAAAUCAUCAUGCCCCUUAUGACCUGGGCUACACACGUGCUACAAUGGACGGUACAAAGAGCUGCAAGCCCGCGAGGGUUAGCCAAUCUCAUAAAACCGUUCUCAGUUCGGAUUGUAGUCUGCAACUCGACUACAUGAAGCCGGAAUCGCUAGUAAUCGCGGAUCACCAUGCCGCGGUGAAUACGUUCCCGGGUCUUGUACACAC
rnacentral:rRNA from 1 species